rnacentral:rRNA from 1 species
UACGUAGGUGGCGAGCGUUGUCCGGAUUUACUGGGCGUAAAGGGAGCGUAGGCGGAUUUUUAAGUGAGAUGUGAAAUACUCGGGCUCAACUUGAGUGCUGCAUUUCAAACUGGAAGUCUAGAGUGCAGGAGAGGAGAAUGGAAUUCCUAGUGUAGCGGUGAAAUGCGUAGAGAUUAGGAAGAACACCAGUGGCGAAGGCGAUUCUCUGGACUGUAACUGACGUUGAGGCUCGAAAGCGUGGGGAGCAAACAGG